CUUCUAUCAAUCUUAGUGGCGAACGGGUGAGUAACGCGUAAUCAACCUGCCGAUGACUCGGGGAUAGCCUUUCGAAAGAAAGAUUAAUACCCGAUGGCAUAGUUCUUCCGCAUGGUGGAACUAUUAAAGAAUUUCGGUCAUCGAUGGGGAUGCGUUCCAUUAGGUUGUUGGCGGGGUGACGGCCCACCAAGCCUUCGAUGGAUAGGGGUUCUGAGAGGAAGGUCCCCCACAUUGGAACUGAGACACGGUCCAAACUCCUACGGGAGGCAGCAUG
rnacentral:rRNA from 1 species